rnacentral:tRNA from 2 species
GGACAGGUAGCUCAGUUGGUAGAGCGUCCGCCUGAAAAGCGGAAGGUCGCCGGAUCGAUGCCGGCCCUGUCCA